UACAUAUGACAACACCAAUAUCAAUUGAAGACGUUCGUAGAGAGGUCAAAAUCCUCAAAGCCUUGUCCAACCAUAAUAAUCUUGUCAAAUUUUAUGAUGCAUGUGAGGAUGCACUUAACGUCUACGUAGUCAUGGAAUUAUGUGAAGGUGGAGAAUUAUUAGAAAGAAUUUUAUCCAGAGGUGGAAGGUACUCAAAGGAGGAUGCAAAAGCUAUAGUUAUUCAAAUACUGAGUGUAAUCACCUUUUGUCAUCUUCAAGGUGUUGUGCAUCGUGAUUUAAAGCCAUA